rfam:Ipomoea nil DNA, scaffold: scaffold0415, cultivar: Tokyo-kokei standard.
GAUUCCAUGGCCCAUUGGAUAAGGUGCUGGUCUACGAAACCAGGGAUUCUGGGUUCGAUCCCCAGUGGAGUCG